GAUCCUGGCUCAGAACGAACGCUGGCGGCAUGCCUAACACAUGCAAGUCGAACGAGACUUCGGUCUAGUGGCGGACGGGUGAGUAACGCGUAGGAACCUGCCAAGCAGUGGGGAAUAACAGCUGGAAACGGCUGCUAAUACCGCAUACGCCCUUCGGGGGAAAGAUUUAUCGCUGUUUGAGGGUCCUGCGUUCGAUUAGCUAGUUGGUGAGGUAACGGCCCACCAAGGCGACGAUCGAUAGCUGGUCUGAGAGGAUGAUCAGCCACACUGGGACUGAGACACGGCCCAGACUCCUACGGGAGGCAGCAGUGGGGAAUAUUGGACAAUGGGCGAAAGCCUGAUGCAGCAAUGCCGCGUGUGUGAAGAAGGCCUGCGGGUUGUAAAGCACUUUCAGUAGGGAGGAAACAGUAGCCGGUUAAUAUCCGGUUGCCUUGACGUUACCUACAGAAGAAGCACCGGCUAACUCUGUG
rnacentral:rRNA from 1 species